AACGUAGGACACAAGCGUUAUCCGGAGUUACUGGGCGUAAAGGGCGUGUAGGCGGAGAUGUAAGUCUAUUCUGAAAGCUCCUGGCUAAACUGGGAGAGGCGAAUGGAGACUGCAUAUCUAGAGUGAGGAAGAGGAAAGUGAAAAUUCCGCGUGUAGUGGUGAAAUGCGUAGAGAUGCGGAGGAACACCAGUGGCGAAAGCGACUUUCUGGUCCUUAACUGACGCUGAGGCGCGAAAAGCAUGGGGGAGCGAACGGGG
rnacentral:rRNA from 1 species